rnacentral:rRNA from 1 species
AACGAACGCUGGCGGCAGGCUUAACACAUGCAAGUCGAGCGCCCCGCAAGGGGAGCGGCAGACGGGUGAGUAACGCGUGGGAAUCUACCCAUCUCUACGGAAUAACGCAUGGAAACGUGUGCUAAUACCGUAUACGUCCUUCGGGAGAAAGAUUUAUCGGAGAUGGAUGAGCCCGCGUUGGAUUAGCUAGUUGGUGGGGUAAAGGCCUACCAAGGCGACGAUCCAUAGCUGGUCUGAGAGGAUGAUCAGCCACACUGGGACUGAGACACGGGCCAGACUCCUACGGGAGGCAGCAGUGGGGAAUAUUGGACAAUGGGCGCAAGCAUGAUCCAGCCAUGCCGCGUGAGUGAUGACGGCCCUAGGGUUGUAAAGAUCUUUCACCGGUGAAGAUAAUGACGGUAACCGGAGAAGAAGCCCCGGCUAACUUCGUGCCAGCCGCCGCCGUAAGAC